AGUAAAGUAAGUAGUAAAUAGUGGACUUACUUUAUUCAAUUCUAUCGUCAUUGUACAACAAUUAAAAUGAGCACAUGAUUUAGCACAAGCCAAACAUUUCCCAGAUAGCGAGAGACUGGCGGACCACUGUCGGUCCACUGGGGGCAUAGCUGGUGGUCUGCUGGCAUUUUACUCAUCGGUUCUCUGGCGAGUUGCAGACAAAUGGCCCAAUAUAUUGCCACUGUUGGUCUAAAAUCUUUUUCAUUUGUUUAGUUAUACUCCAUACAUCAUUUUAAUAACAUUUCAUGUGUUUUCUUAAUAUUCAUGACAAGUUAAAUUGAAAGAGAUGGUGGUCCAACAGCGGACCACAAGUGGCACGCCACUGGUGGCAUACCAGCAGCGGUCCGCUAUCUGCCAAUCUGAUUUUGCUACCUGGGUGUGUGGGUGGGUAUGUGUUGUGUUUAGGAGAUGAAAUGGUGUGUGUGUAUGGGGGGGUGGGGUAAAUGUUAACAUCCAGGCCAUAUGUAGGUCUGUGGUCCAGGACAGUAUACAGGAAAGUUUUCACAGCGCAAUAUUACUAACUACUGUAUACUGUAUCACUAGUGUUCUAACAUGCUUUAUCAGUGCCAACUUGGCUAUUGUUGGUCUUUGCUAGGUUUUUACAUGCCUGUCGUAUGAGCACUAGUUUUAGGCCCAAACUUUUCAUCGCAGCUUUAGUACUAAAAACGUUUCCUUUUAAAUAACGGGAAACAUCUCAAAGUAUAUAAAUAGCAAAUAGCAACAUAACGCAGCCUGAAUCAGAGGGGUUCAGGAAAGGUUGUCUGGUUAUCUGACCCAGUGGUGCCAGCUGCAGGGCUGACAGGCCCCGGUGCCAAGUGAGUCCACCUGGGAGCUCAGAGAUGUGCAAGCACGAGCACCAUUGGCCAAGUGUAGAAGGGGUUGGUGCCAGUCUGAUUUCAUGGGCCAUUUCACACACCACAGUGGAACAACUUUCCACAGCAUUUAUUUCUUUAUUUAUCUUUUUAUUUAUUUCAAUCUUGGCAUGUCAAAACUUUACCAGCAGGGGUCAGUCUUUGCCUAAUAAAUAUGAGAAUGUUGUUCAUGAGAAUUUUAGGAGAGAAAAGGGAUUGCAGAAAUCUUUCUUUAUUGUUUAUUUUCUUCUCUCUCCAUGUCUCUCAUUCUCUUUGUCUGUCUGAUUCUCUUACGCUCUGCCUCUGUGAGAUUUAGAAAGUGGUUCUCUCACUGUACAGCUGUCAGGUAACACGGGAGAGAGACCAGUGAGGGAGAGAGGGGAAGAGAGGAAGACAGAGAGAGAGAGAGAGUGGACAAAGGUGCUCAGUGCACAGUGUCUGCCACAUCUAAAGUCUGCCUCUGCUUCUCAGGAGACACUGGUGCCAUUUAACAGUGUCACUCGCUCACUAUCCUUCUCACUAUCUCUCUUUCUCUUUUUCUCACGGCAGUUCAACAAACUAAAGUUCGAAACGCAUGAAAUAUACAUGGACAGAAGGAGUUUUGAGGGUGUGUCCCCCCCCCCCCCCCCCCCCUCUCUGAACAGAUGAAAUGGAGAUUUGACUUCACAUUGUCAUCAUAUGCAGGCUACAAAACACAGAUGCAGGAUCGAUUGUUCAGGAGGCAUUACGAAUGAUGUGCUCCUCUGAAAUUUGGUGCAAAGCUAGUGCAAAUCGUAUCAAUAAGCUGGCAGUUGAGUUAACGGCAGUGGACAAAAGUUUCUCAGUAGUAUUGUUCAUGUGGGUGACAGCUGAGAUUCAUCUCCACAGCUGCACAGGCUGCUUGUUCGGCUGGCAAUCUGGUUGGCUCUUCC